CCCUUAGAUGUUCUGGGCCGCACACGCGCUACACUGAAGGAGGCAGCGUGUACUCCUGGAUCGAAAGAUUUGGGUAACACGCGAAUCUCCUUCGUGCUAGGGAUUGAGGUUUGCAAUUAUCCUUCAUGAACGAGGAAUUCCCAGUAAGUGCAAGUCAUAAGCUUGCGCUGACUACGUCCCUGCCCUUUGUACACACCGCCCGUCGCUACUACCGAUUGAAUGAUUUAGUGAGGACUUCGGACUGGGACCGAUGCGGCUUUCGGGCUGCGUCGGUAUUCUGGAAAGAUGUCCAAACUGUAUCAUUUAGAGGAAGUAAAANUCGUAACA
rnacentral:rRNA from 1 species